AACGAACGCUGGCGGCAGGCUUAACACAUGCAAGUCGAACGAGAUCUUCGGAUCUAGUGGCAGACGGGUGAGGAACACGUGGGAACAUCCCUUUCAGUUCGGAAUAACGUUGGGAAACUAACGCUAAUACCGGAUACGUCCUUCGGGAGAAAGAUUUAUCGCUGCAAGAUUGGCCCGCGUCUGAUUAGCUAGUUGGUGAGGUAACGGCUCACCAAGGCUACGAUCAGUAGCUGAUCUGAGAGGAUGAUCAGCCACAUUGGGACUGAGACACGGCCCAAACUCCUACGGGAGGCAGCAGUGGGGAAUAUUGGACAAUGGGCGCAAGCCUGAUCCAGCCAUGCCGCGUGAGUGAUGACAGCCUUCGGGUUGUAAAGCUCUUUUGUCCGGGAAGAUAAUGACUGUACCGGAAGAAUAAGCCCCGGCAAACUUCGUGCCAGCAGCCGCCGUAA
rnacentral:rRNA from 1 species